CCUAUACAUCAAUUACAAUGGCUGCUGUUCCUGUACCUCAGUUAGAGUGGCUACAGUUAAACAACGGACGAUAUCAAGUGUUGGUGAGGAUGUGGAAGAACUGGAAUGCUCAUAUACCACUGGUGGAGGAUGCAAAAUAAUGCAGUUACUUUAGAGAACAGUUUGGUAGUUUCUUAAAACGUUAAAUAUAUAGCUACCAUCCAGUGUAACCAUUCUAUUCCUAGAUGUUUAUUCAAAAGAAAGAAAUUCACAUUCUAUACCAAAAUGUGUAUGUGAAUAUUUAUGGGAGCUUUAUCUAUAUACCCCAAACUAAAAACCACAGACAUAUCAUUCAACAGGUAAAUAAACUAACUUAAAUAUGUCCAUGCCAUGCAGUAUUACUCAGUAACAAAGAGAAACGAACCCUUGAUUUAUAUAACAUGGAUGGAUCUCAAGGGAAUCAUGCCAAGUGAAAAAAAGUCAGUCCCAAGAGGUUACCAGAUGUAUGCUUCCAUUAAUGUAAAAUUCUUGAGGUGACAAAAUUAUAGAGGACAGGUUAGUGGUUGCUAGAACGAGGGACCACAAGGGGGAACAGGAGAGGCCGUGAUUAUAAAAGGACAACACAGUGAGUCCUCGUGGCGAUGGAACACUCCGUAAAAAAAAAAAAAAAAGAUCCAUGGGUUGUAUCAGGGUCUGUAUCAUCGUUGUGAUAUCAUACUUUAAGUUUUGCAAGAUGUUACUAUUGGGGGAAAAUAGUUAAAGGGUAAAAGAUCUCUGUGUAAGUUUUUAUAUCUAGAUAUAGCUACAAUUAUUUCAAAAUGAAAAGCUUAAUUAAAUUAAAAUAUAUACAUGUGUAUCAAGACAACAGCUUGAGAUGCAGUCCCCUUAUUCAGGUCUUCAAUUUCCAUAAACGGACACUGGAGGCAGAACAAGAGACAUGGAAUUUAUUUUUAGGGAUCCUUUUUCAGGACACAAGAUUAACAUUUCAGUUUUACGUGGUCACAGGAGGGUGUGUGCACAUAUGAUGGAACUGUUCAUCAUUAUUUCAACUUUGUCCUUUUCCAGUUUUCUAGUCCUAGAUUCUUCGUUGCGGUAAAAAGAACAGGCUUCAUUGUCAGGCUGCUGUAAGCAAGAAAUGAAAAGAUGUUUAGUGAGAGGUUUGGGGGAGCGCAGAGAUUUCUGGAGGUCUACGAAGUGGAACCACAUAAAUAGAUCGGUCCCAUGAUAGGAACAGGGGCUGGGGAGACAUGGCAAGAAUGCACCUCAAGAAUGCGCUUUCUGUCCUAAAGUCACUGGCUCUUAGCAAAAAAAGGUCUCUCACUGAAGGACUUACAUCAGUACCUCCUGGUCAUACAGAGACAAUGAGAUCGAGGAUUGGCCUCCUUGGUCUCCCAAGGAACAGACACCAAAACUGAACGUUACACUCAAUUUCCCACAGUGGAGGAGGGGUGGUUCCCCCAGAGAAACACAGGAAGCCACUGGGGAGGUGGAAUGAAUGCUGGGUGGCCAGAGGGUGACAAACACGGAUGCUACCAGGAGAACGAGACUAACACACAUGCAAGUGUCAAGGGGGUGGUUUUUCAGAAGGCCUGGGAAGGCAGUUUUCAACCCCAAUUCCUUCUUUGUGUAGUUUCUGACAUCUCAUCAUUUGGGAAUAUUUCCUGUUAAGCAUUAACCCUCAUUCGAUAGGCCAUUUAGAAUAUACGUUCCCCUGGUAGAGCCUAAAUGCCACUGAGUAUUAAUAUCAGAUUUGUCUGGACACACUCAGAAGGGGUCUGUGUCAACAAAAGGGGAACACCUGGAAUGGGGAAGUUAAGAGGGGUUUAGGAAUUCCCAUCGUGGCUCAGCCGUAGUGAACCCAACUAGUAUCCAUGAGGACACGGGUUUGAUCCCUGGCCUCGCAAGGUGGGUUAAGGAUCCAUCAUUGCCAUGAGCUAUGAGGUCUGUUGCAGACGUGGCUCAAGUCUGGCAUUGCUGUGGCUGUGGUAUAGGCCAGUAGCUGCAGCUCUGAUUCAUCACUUAGCUUGGGAACUUCCAGAGCUAUUCCCCCUUAAGGAAUGAUUUAGGGGCAGCAUACCUGUUUUAGGUGUGGUCAGGCCUAGGCUUUGAAAAUUGCAAAGUACGGGAGAAUCGGAAGGCAAGUUCCAUACAUGCUGUGACUACUUCAUAAAAUUUUGAGCCAAGUCUGCAAAUGGCACCACCUGAAUGGCUGUUUACUCUAGAAGCAUGUGUAUAGGAACCAGUCAGCUACAACGCCACAGGUAAGGAAUGGAUUCAGUUCAAACAUAACCCAGGAGUUCCCAUUGUGCCUCAGUGGGAUACCAACUAGUAUCCAUGGGGACUCGGGUGAGAUCCUUGGCCUCACUCAGUGGGUUAAGGAUCCAGUGUUGCCAUGAGCUGCAGUAUACAUAGCAGAUGCAGCUUGGAUCCCAUGUUGCUGUGGCUGCAGUGUAGGCUGGCAGCUGUAGUUCCAAUUCAUCCCCUAGCCUGGAACUUACAUUUGCCUCAGGUGUGGCCCUAAAAAG
rnacentral:lncRNA from 1 species